CGGCCGCGUCGACGGGAGAAUGGAAUUCCUGGUGGAGCGGUGGAAUGCGCAGAUAUCAGGAGGAACACCAGUGGCGAAGGCGGUUCUCUGGGCCUUUCCUGACGCUGAGGAGCGAAAGCGUGGGGAGCGAACAGGCUUAGAUACCCUGGUAGUCCACGCUGUAAACGGUGGGUACUAGGUGUGGGGUCCAUUCCACGGGUUCCGUGCCGUAGCUAACGCUUUAAGUACCCCGCCGUGGGGAGUACGGCCGCAAGGACUAAAACUCAAAGGAAUUGACGGGGCCCCGCACAAGCGGCGGAGCAUGCGGAUUAAUUCGAUGCAACGCGUAGAACCUUACCUGGGUUUGACAUGGAUCGGGAGUGCUCAGAGU
rnacentral:rRNA from 1 species